AGGGAAUUAGCUGCAUUCAGCUUUUAUUCUCUCCCGAAGCUUUGCAAAACCUCCCGGCCUUCCAAGAGGGUUUGCGUCUUGUCCUAGAAAUUUUCUUAUAAUUUUUCCCACCACCCUGACUGAUCUCCUACACAUGUAAGAUGUGGCUUGUCCUCCUUGCCUUCCACCAUGAUAGUGAAGCCUCCCCAGUUACGUGGAAUAUAUUUGAAGAGAUUUAUUCUGAACCAAAUAUGAGUGACCAUGGCCAGUGACACAGCCCUCAAGGAGGUCCUGAGAACAUGUACCUGUAAAGAUUUUUUUUUUAAUUGGGGUAUGGGGAAGAUACCAAGUCAAGAUGCAUGUGGUUACAAAUAAGAAUUUUUAAAAAGGCAGAAUAAACAUCUUGUAAUAAACUUAAUAAGAA
rnacentral:lncRNA from 10 species